ACCAUCGACUGUUGAGUGUACC
rnacentral:miRNA from 2 species